GAUAAACGCUGGCGGCGUGCUUAACACAUGCAAGUCGAACGGAGUGGUUCUCCCGAGGAUUGAAGGUGCUUGCACCGGAUUGACUCAAUUGAAUCACUUAGUGGCGGACGGGUGAGUAACGCGUGGGUAACCUGCCUCACACUGGGGGAUAGCAGUUGGAAACGACUGAUAAUACCGCAUAAGCGCACGGUAUCGCAUGAUACAGUGUGAAAAGAUUUAUCGGUGUAAGAUGGACCCGCGUCUGAUUAGAUAGUUGGUGAGGUAACGGCUCACCAAGUCGACGAUCAGUAGCCGGCCUGAGAGGGUGAACGGCCACAUUGGGACUGAGACACGGCCCAAACUCC
rnacentral:rRNA from 1 species